GACGAACGCUGGCGGCGUGCUUAACACAUGCGAGUCGAACGGAAAGGCCCUGCUUUUGGGGGGUGCUCGAGUGGCGAACGGGUGAGUAACACGUGAGUAACCUGCCCUUGACUUUGGGAUAACUUCAGGAAACUGGGGCUAAUACCGGAUAGGAGCUCCUGCUGCAUGGUGGGGGUUGGAAAGUUUCGGCGAUUGGGGAUGGACUCGCGGCUUAUCAGCUUGUUGGUGGGGUAGUGGCUUACCAAGGCUUUGACGGGUAGCCGGCCUGAGAGGGUGACCGGCCACAUUGGGACUGAGAUACGGCCCAGACUCCUACGGGAGGCAGCAGUGGGGAAUAUUGCACAAUGGGCGGAAGCCUGAUGCAGCAACGCCGCGUGCGGGAUGACGGCCUUCGGGUUGUAAACCGCUUUCGCCUGUGACGAAGCGUGAGUGACGGUAAUGGGUAAAGAAGCACCGGCUAACUACGUG
rnacentral:rRNA from 1 species